GGGUGACAAAACGAAAUUCCAUCUCAAAAAAUAAAACGUCUUCUCUCCUUUCUUGUGUGGGGUUGAACAAGAGGCAAUCAUUUAUUUAAAAGCCCCCCUGUGAUAUGAAAAUAAAAUAUUGGUCUCCCCCACCACCCAGUUCCUGGCACACAGCUCCUAAAUCCCUUGGAAUUUCUUGGGUGAUAGGAUGUCUUUUGUUCUAAUGAGGCCACUCCUGAUAGCUAGAGAGUUCAAGAAGGGCAGUUGACAGAGGACCAAGGCAUGAUUAAAGGGUGGAACUUUCAGCCCCACCCCCCGACCUCCAGGGAGGGGAGAGAAGCUGGAGAUAAACUUAAUCACCAAAGACCAAAUGAUUUCGCCAUCAUGUCUGCAGAAAGAAACUUCCAUAAACCCCCUAAAGGAUGGGGUUCAGAGAGCUUUCAGGGUCAGAAGUGGUUUCCAAAUGUUGAAAUUUUGACCAUUGAAUUGAGCUGACUUGGAUUCUCAAUGUUGGUCGACAGUCUGGUGGCAACAGGAGUGGCCUCCCUGCACUGGUGUCUUGGGAAGAAGGGUCCUUGGAGCCGAAGAUGAUUUUGGGGAGUGAAAGAGACCGCCUUUUCCUGGUAAUAGCAGAGCCAAAACUCCAGCCUUCAACCCACAGACCGGGGCCUGUCCCCAGGCAUCGCCACCCACCCCAUGGCCUCAUCGUCAUCUGUGACUUUUGCCUCCCUGCAUCUCAGUUUCCAUGCCUGUCAAGUGGAGAUAUAAUACCUCAUUCUGGGGAGAUACAAUGAAGCACUGCUGGUAAAAAGUACACGUGCUAUACAAAAUUAGGAAAUCCUUGUCACCAGACUUAGAGAAAAAUACAAAGUGGAGUUGACUCCCAGGUUGGAGACACAGCUUCCCAGACUCCCGUUUCACCUGAGGCACAGAAGCUUUCCUUUGUUCACCGUUGCCAGCAGUUAUUGGACUGUGGCUGGGAUUACCUGUCAGAAUUCACAGAGAUGGCAUCUCUCUAUAUUGCCCAGGCUGGUCUCAAGCUCCUGGCCUCAAGUGAUCCUCCCACCUUGACUUCCCAAAAUGCUGAGAUUACAGGCAUGAGCCACUGCACCUGGCCUCAUUUAUUUUAAGAUCAAAGAAAAACCUUCAAAAGCAGGAGAAGCUUCCUGGACUAGACUGCCCUAAGAAGAUGAAGGAUUGUUGCCUAUGUGGAUUUUUAAUCUUUUUUUUUUUUUUUUCUGGAACAUUUGUCUCUAUAUCCCAUAUCCUUAUAUUGAGCAAGAAUCUUUUAAAAUUUAUUUGAGAAUGAAAGCUUCACCUAUACAACUCAGCCAAACCGCAGUAAGUUCUCUACCAGAUGGUGCCCUCCCGCGCCCGCCCCCCUAACACAACCAGGAUCCAGAUGGGCAGUGGUCUGGGGCACAGAGCAAGCACUGGAGCCCUGGGAACUGGGGGUGGGGGGUGGGGUUUCCUCAGCUUUCCCUUCUGUUUUCUUGGAAACAACUGGGCUUAUUUAAACUGCCUGGAUGGAAAUUUUUAUGAAGAACAAAAAUGAGAAUUUAGAGAAUCAGUUUGAGGUUUUGUUCUCUUGGACUCCAUAUUCACUAUAAGGGGAAACCCAAAAAGAAAAAAAAGCCUUGAGUUUUCUCUGGAGAGGGUGACAACUGAUACUCUAAGUUCCUUUCUUCUGCUUAGGGGCUGAAAACCCCACAGUCCAGGCAGACCAGAGUGAAGUUGGUGGUAGGAACUCCGGUGACCUGAAGGAGCGACCUUGAUCCAGGCAGACCCAGGAGUGCCACCUCAAACUCUGGUUUUUAAAAGAAAAUAGAGGUGGAAUUUUUUAUGUCAAAUCUUCUGAUAUGUAAACAUGGGUGACUAAUUGAAAUAUGUAAAAGAUGCUGUUCGAAUGAACUGGAGCCAGGAGAAACCCUAGAUCAUCUUGCUGAGUCUGUCAUUUUGGAGCUAGGAGUCUGAGGUCCAGAGGAAGAACGACUUGCCAAGAUGAUGCCAGAAGUGAGACCAGAGCCUACACCUGCUGACUCAUGGUGGGGUUCUAUUAAUUGGCAUCAACUGAUGGCUUUUUCAAACAACUAAAAAAUAUUUAGGUUAGUUCUCUCUCUCUCUCCCUCUUUCCCUCUUUUCUUUCAAUUAUUUAUGCAUUCAAGUAUAUCUCUUUUUUAUUCUUUUCUAGACAAUUUUAAUUUUGAAUUCCUCUCAUGUAGAAGUUACUUAGGAGAUUGUUUCUUAAUUCUAAGUAGUGAAGACUUUUUAAGUAUGCUUUUGUGAUAAAUUUUAAUUGUAUAGGCUGAGGCUCAGGACAUUUAGCUUGUGUAUCUCCACUUUUAUAUUUUAUAGAUUUUCUUUAGAGCCAAAUAUGAGAUCAAUUUUUACAAAGAUUCUGAGGACAAAAUAAAAUGAUGUUUAUUUUUCAUUGGUAAGACACUGAAUUCUACGUAUGUACGAAAUCAAGCUCGUUAAUUGUAAUAUUGAGAUUCUCUAUGUCGUUUAUUUUUGUUUUACUAGAUCUCCGAAAUUCAGAAGUAAUUAAGCCCAGGAGGGCGAGACUGCAGUGAGCUGUGAUUGAGCCGCUGCACUCCAGCCUGGGUGACAGAGCAAGACCCUGUCUCAGAAAAUAAAUAAAUAAAUAAAAUUCAAAAGUAGGCAUAUCUAAAGUAUUUUACUACAGUAUAUGUGUGGGGGUAUGUGUGUGCGUGCGUAUACUUUAAGUUCUUCUUAUAUUGCAGUAGUUUUUGUUUUAUGUAUAACUAUGCUAUUUGGAAUAUCAAAAUUUAUAGCUGUUAUAUUUUUUCCAAUAUGUACAUUUUACCAUACCAUAAUGUCUCUCAUAACUCCAAUGAAUGCUUCUGACUUUAAAUUCUACUUCGCCUGAUGUUAGUAGAUCUGUCUAUUCCUGCUUUCCUUCUAAGCAUAUCUGUUUGGUAUCUCUUUGUCCAUCGCU